GUCUCUGUGGCGCAAUCGGUACGCGUUCGGCUGUUAACCGCAAGGUUGGUGGUUCAAGCCCACCCAGGGACG
rnacentral:tRNA from 1 species